GAUUGAACGCUGGCGGCAUGCCUUACACAUGCAAGUCGAACGGCAGCACGGGUGCUUGCACCUGGUGGCGAGUGGCGAACGGGUGAGUAAUACAUCGGAACAUGUCCUGUAGUGGGGGAUAGCCCGGCGAAAGCCGGAUUAAUACCGCAUACGAUCUACGGAUGAAAGCGGGGGACCUUCGGGCCUCGCGCUAUAGGGUUGGCCGAUGGCUGAUUAGCUAGUUGGUGGGGUAAAGGCCUACCAAGGCGACGAUCAGUAGCUGGUCUGAGAGGACGACCAGCCACACUGGGAGUGGGACACGGCCCAGACUCCUACGGGAGGCAGCAGUGGGGAAUUUUGGACAAUGGGCGAAAGCCUGAUCCAGCAAUGCCGCGUGUGUGAAGAAGGCCUUCGGGUUGUAAAGCACUUUUGUCCGGAAAGAAAUCCUUGGCUCUAAUACAGUCGGGGGAUGACGGUACCGGAAGAAUAAGCACCGGCUAACUACGUGCCAGCAGCCGCGGUAAUACGUAGGGUGCGAGCGUUAAUCGGAAUUACUGGGCGUAAAGCGUGCGCAGGCGGUUUGCUAAGACCGAUGUGAAAUCCCCGGGCUCAACCUGGGAACUGCAUUGGUGACUGGCAGGCUAGAGUAUGGCAGAGGGGGGUAGAAUUCCACGUGUAGCAGUGAAAUGCGUAGAGAUGUGGAGGAAUACCGAUGGCGAAGGCAGCCCCCUGGGCCAAUACUGACGCUCAUGCACGAAAGCGUGGGGAGCAAACAGGAUUAGAUACCCUGGUAGUCCACGCCCUAAACGAUGUCAACUAGUUGUUGGGGAUUCAUUUCCUUAGUAACGUAGCUAACGCGUGAAGUUGACCGCCUGGGGAGUACGGUCGCAAGAUUAAAACUCAAAGGAAUUGACGGGGACCCGCACAAGCGGUGGAUGAUGUGGAUUAAUUCGAUGCAACGCGAAAAACCUUACCUACCCUUGACAUGGUCGGAAUCCCGCUGAGAGGUGGGAGUGCUCGAAAGAGAACCGGCGCACAGGUGCUGCAUGGCUGUCGUCAGCUCGUGUCGUGAGAUGUUGGGUUAAGUCCCGCAACGAGCGCAACCCUUGUCCUUAGUUGCUACGCAAGAGCACUCUAAGGAGACUGCCGGUGACAAACCGGAGGAAGGUGGGGAUGACGUCAAGUCCUCAUGGCCCUUAUGGGUAGGGCUUCACACGUCAUACAAUGGUCGGAACAGAGGGUUGCCAACCCGCGAGGGGGAGCUAAUCCCAGAAAACCGAUCGUAGUCCGGAUUGCACUCUGCAACUCGAGUGCAUGAAGCUGGAAUCGCUAGUAAUCGCGGAUCAGCAUGCCGCGGUGAAUACGUUCCCGGGUCUUGUACACACCGC
rnacentral:rRNA from 1 species